GACGAACCGUGCGAACGUGGUUCGGAAUCACUGGGCUUAAAGGGCGCGUAGGCGGGCUGUCAAGUCUGGGGUGAAAUGCCGCGGCUCAACCGUGGAACUGCCUUAGAUACUGACGGCCUCGAGGAAGGUAGGGGCAUGCGGAACUGUAGGUGGAGCGGUGAAAUGCGUUGAUAUCGUCAAGAACACCUAUAGCGAAGGCAGCUUACUAGGCUGUAUCUGACGCUGAGUCACGAAAGUGUGGGGAGCGAACAGG
rnacentral:rRNA from 1 species